GAUAACUAAAGGUGAGUGGAACUUAACUUAAUGUUUUAAGAUGAGAACUGAAUAUUUUAUCAUGCUUCAUGCAUCAUGAAUAUGCUAUAGGGUGAGUGCAUUAGUAUACACGAAUAUGACGCAUUGCAUUAAUCCUUGUACUUGGCACUGCUCCUUGUACAUUGUUUCUAUGAGACGGCACGGACUUCGUGAGGAUUCAUUAGCCCUCAGAGGAAAGACCUGGAACAGCCCUACGGGGACCAGGCACAAAGACCUGGAACAGCCCUACGGGGACCAAGCACAUGGUACUCCGGUACCCCAAAUGAGAUAGAGGGAGUUUUGAUCCGUCCGGCCGAGGUGAUGUGAUUAUGUGUUGCAUUCCAUGAGAGCAUGUUUUAACACCUGUGAUUUUAUUACUAUUCUACUCACUGGGCUAUAGUAGCUCAUCCCUCUCCCCUAACUCCAGUUGUGCAGGUUCAGAGGUCAGAGAGAACUCAGCAGGGUACAGGAAGAGUACAGAGUAGUGUAAUAGCUAGUGUGGACAUGUAAAUGUAAAGAGAUAGUGUAUAUGUACAGUGUAUAGAAUGGUGCUUGACUUAUAAGAAUUGUAAUCCCUUUGUGGAGUCACAUGAUCAGUUUAUGUAUGUUUCUUUAUUGUUGUAUGUUUCUGAGCAAAAUCAGGCUUAACAUUAUG
rnacentral:lncRNA from 1 species